AUCAACCCCAUUCUCCUGUAUCCUAUAUCUUUCAUUCAAAUGCUUCUAUCUCACUUUUGCUGUCACCUUUUCUAAUUUGGGAUCUACCUUAACUGUUGUUUGCAAAUUCAAAAUGCAAGAGGUACUUCCACAACCAGCUGAAGCCGUCAAAGCUUUCCUGGACCGUGAUGUAAAGUCAGCAGCAAUGGUGGAUACUCACAAUCUCAAGGAGCUUUAUCUGUUUUUGUCUCUUAUGCAUUCAUGCAAAUUUGAUUAAUUUACAGUUUAUAGCUUAGUAGAAUUGGCCAUUCAAAGUGGACCUGAAAUAAAGCAGGUAUCUUUAAAGCUUGGGCUAAAGAGGACCUUCUCGAGGAACAAAAUCAAGAGUUGGCCACCUAACAACCAGUAUUACUUUGCCUAUGGGAUAGAUUGGACCAUUUGAAUGAGGAACCACUUUAGAACAGGAUGAAAAUAGCAAUUGCCCCAUGUGAAAUCAAAUAUUUUGAUUCUCAGGUUUUGAGUAGAAGGACUUGAGCGUCGCAAAGUCAAUAACAGAGGAAGCCCGGAUUUGGGCACUGUAUGCAAACGAUUUGAAGACUUAAGUUAGUGUGCAGGGAGAAAAUGAAUCUGUUCCUAGCAAGCAAUUGCUAGGUUAGGAGGAUGGGAAAAUAUCUUAUACAUUGUUUCAAGGUCAUGCUGGGCCGCUUUAUUCAACUACAUUUAGUCCUCUUGGGGACUUUAUUCUGUCUUCUUCUUCGGACUCAACAAGUAUGUUUCUUCUCCUAUCAUCUUACUUUCUUUUCAUGAUAAGUGGACGAGCCUUUUUUGGGUCAGGUAAAAAAGACGGCUUGCAUCUCGCACACUUGUGCCAUGAGACUGUGUGCAUGAAAUAGGAUUUACAGGCAAGUGAGCUUACAAAACUCCAUUUGGGCUUCGCUAUUGGUAAUUAUGUAUGCUAAUCUUUCAGGAUUGGAUCAAAGAAAUGGCAGCUUAUGUUAAAUCCAUAGACAGUAAUCAUCUAUUGGAGGUGGGGAUUGAAGGAUUCUAUGGCGAAUCGAUGCCCGACAGGAAGCAAUUUAAUCCUGGUUACCAAAUUGGAACGGAUUUCAUCUCGAAUAACUAGAUUCCAGGAAUCGACUUUACGACGAUUCAUGCUUACCCAGAUCAAUGGAUACCGAAUUCAAAUGAGCAGGCCCAAUCUGCUUUCCUUCAAAGCUGGAUACAAGCCCACCUCCAAGAUGCGAAUACGGUCCUUGGAAAACCAAUCCUCUUUACAGAAUUUGGCAAGUCGUCUUGGAUUCCAGGAUAUACGACAAGCGUAAGGGACAACUUCUUGGGGACUGUAUAUAAUACCGUCUACGCCUCAGCAAGAAAUGGUGGCCCAUGUGGUGGUGGGC